UCUUUAUGAAAAUUAGUCUUUUAAAUUUAUAUAUAAAGUUAAGAGAGGUUUAAAAAAUUGGUUCAUUUUACUGGGGCGGUAGAGAUAUAAAAAAUAAACUGUCAUUAUGAUUAAACAGAGUUAUCUGAUAGUAAAAGAUCCUUGACUGAGGAGUGAAAGUAAAAGUU
rnacentral:rRNA from 1 species